rnacentral:rRNA from 1 species
AACGAACGCUGGCGGCAGGCUUAACACAUGCAAGUCGAGCGCCCCGCAAGGGGAGCGGCAGACGGGUGAGUAACGCGUGGGAACGUACCCUUUGCUACGGAAUAGCUCCGGGAAACUGGAAUUAAUACCGUAUGUGCCCUACGGGGGAAAGAUUUAUCGGCAAAGGAUCGGCCCGCGUUGGAUUAGCUAGUUGGGGGGGUAAUGGCCUACCAAGGCGACGAUCCAUAGCUGGUCUGAGAGGAUGAUCAGCCACAUUGGGACUGAGACACGGCCCAAACUCCUACGGGAGGCAGCAGUGGGGAAUAUUUGACAAUGGGCGCAAGCCUGAUCCAGCCAUGCCGCGUGAGUGAUGAAGGCCUUAGGGUUGUAAAGCUCUUUCACCGGAGAAGAUAAUGACGGUAUCCGGAGAAGAAGCCCCGGCUAACUUCGUGCCAGCCGCCGCAGUAAUAC